rnacentral:piRNA from 1 species
UGGAACCCUUGCCACCGAGAUUCGAGUGA